rnacentral:rRNA from 1 species
GUGGGGAAUCUUAGACAAUGGGGGAAACCCUGAUCUAGCCAUGCCGCGUGAUCGAUGAAGGCCUUAGGGUUGUAAAGAUCUUUCAGGUGGGAAGAUAAUGACUGUACCACCAGAAGAAGCCCCGGCUAACUCCGUGCCAGCAGCCGCGGUAAUACGGAGGGGGCUAGCGUUGUUCGGAAUUACUGGGCGUAAAGCGCACGUAGGCGGAUUGGAAAGUUGGGGGUGAAAUCCCGGGGCUCAACCCCGGAACUGCCUUCAAAACUCCCAGUCUUGAGUUCGAGAGAGGUGAGUGGAAUUCCGAGUGUAGAGGUGAAAUUCGUAGAUAUUCGGAGGAACACCAGUGGCGAAGGCGGCUCACUGGCUCGAUACUGACGCUGAGGUGCGAAAGCGUGGGGAGCAAACAGGAUUAGAUACCCUUGUAGUCC